UAGGGAAUCUUCCGCAAUGGGCGAAAGCCUGACGGAGCAACGCCGCGUGAGUGAUGAAGGUCUUCGGAUCGUAAAACUCUGUUAUUAGGGAAGAACAUAUGUGUAAGUAACUGUGCACAUCUUGACGGUACCUAAUCAGAAAGCCACGGCUAACUACGUGCCAGCAGCCGCGGUAAUACGUAGGUGGCAAGCGUUAUCCGGAAUUAUUGGGCGUAAAGCGCGCGUAGGCGGUUUUUUAAGUCUGAUGUGAAAGCCCACGGCUCAACCGUGGAGGGUCAUUGGAAACUGGAAAACUUGAGUGCAGAAGAGGAAAGUGGAAUUCCAUGUGUAGCGGUGAAAUGCGCAGAGAUAUGGAGGAACACCAGUGGCGAAGGCGACUUUCUGGUCUGUAACUGACGCUGAUGUGCGAAAGCGUGGGGAUCAAACAGG
rnacentral:rRNA from 1 species